rnacentral:rRNA from 1 species
AGCGAACGCUGGCGGCAGGCUUAACACAUGCAAGUCGAGCGGGCACUUUCGGGUGUCAGCGGCGGACGGGUGAGUAACGCGUGGGAACGUGCCCUCUGGUUCGGAAUAACCCAGGGAAACUUGAGCUAAUACCGGAUACGCCCUUUUGGGGAAAGGCUUGCUGCCGGAGGAUCGGCCCGCGUCUGAUUAGCUAGUUGGUGAGGUAACGGCUCACCAAGGCGACGAUCCGUAGCUGGUCUGAGAGGAUGCUCAGCCACACUGGGACUGAGACACGGCCCAGACUCCUACGGGAGGCAGCAGUGGGGAAUAUUGGACAAUGGGCGCAAGCCUGAUCCAGCCAUGCCGCGUGAGUGAUGAAGGCCUUAGGGUUGUAAAGCUCUUUUAUCCGGGACGAUAAUGACGGUACCGGAGGAAUAAGCCCCGGCUAACUUCGUG